rnacentral:rRNA from 1 species
GAUGAACGCUGGCGGCGUGCCUAAUACAUGCAAGUCGAGCGAACAGACGAGGAGCUUGCUCCUCUGACGUUAGCGGCGGACGGGUGAGUAACACGUGGAUAACCUACCUAUAAGACUGGGAUAACUUCGGGAAACCGGCGCUAAUACCGGAUAAUAUAUUGAACCGCAUGGUUCAAUAGUGAAAGACGGUUUUGCUGUCACUUAUAGAUGGAUCCGCGCCGCAUUAGCUAGUUGGUAAGGUAACGGCUUACCAAGGCGACGAUGCGUAGCCGACCUGAGAGGGUGAUCGGCCACACUGGAACUGAGACACGGUCCAGACUCCUACGGGAGGCAGAAGUAGGGAAUCUUCCGCAAUGGGCGAAAGCCUGACGGAGCAACGCCGCGUGAGUGAUGAAGGUCUUCGGAUCGUAAAACUCUGUUAUUAGGGAAGAACAAAUGUGUAAGUAACUAUGCACGUCUUGACGGUACCUAAUCAGAAAGCCACGGCUAACUACGUG